rnacentral:rRNA from 1 species
UACGUAGGGACCAAGCGUUGUUCGGAUUUACUGGGCGUAAAGGGCGCGUAGGCGGGUCUGUAAAUCGAAUGUGAAAUCCCCGGGCUUAACCUGGGAAUGGCAUUCGAAACUGCAGAUCUUGGAUGCCUGAGAGGAUGGCGGAAUUCCCGGUGUAGAAGUGAAAUUCGUAGAUAUCGGGAAGAACACCUGAGGCGAAGGCGGCUGUCUGGCGGUGCAUCGAGCUGAGGCGCGAAAGCGUGGGGAGCAAACAGG